CGACCAAUACGGAAGCAGUACGGAACUAAUACGGAGCUUUGCCUGAUGUAUAUUUAGUGUAUCUCCGUAUGUAAGCGUACGGCGUCUGCUGCAUAUAAGCGGCUGCGCAUUUCUGUUUUGAUGAAGAGAAGAUUAGAUUAGAUUGGAUAGCAAUGAAAGCUAACUCGAAGAAUAAGGAUUCAGCCUCUAGGUGAGCACCGGAGAGAAAGUCAGUUAUUUUGCCGCUUCUUCUUUCACGAACGAUUAUAUCUCAGGUGUGUACCUGAAAGUAGAAUAAAAGUAAUUAUUGUUGAUUUCACCGCGCCUACCACUCGGCUACCUAUUACAUUGGUGGCAGCGGUGUAGUUUUAAAUAAAACAACGUGAUUCGACCCCAGACCCCCAUGGCUCAACCCGCUGCAGCUCCCUGCGACGAAUCAAGGGAGGGUAGUCCCCAAGACCAGCAGCGUUUGAUUUUCGCCGGCACGCAGUCGGAAGCAGGAGCCCACUCUUCACUUGGUACUUCGCCUCCGUGGUGGGAUGCAGAUUUUCGUCAACACUCUUCCUGGCUAGACAAUCACUCUUUACGUCGCGCAAAGCGAUGCAAUCGACAACGUGAAGACCACGAUUCAAGACGAGGAGGGAGGUUAUUUGUCUGACGCCGAGCUAGCCGCUCUGAGUCACCGGCUCAACCAAGAUGAAGAUAAAACCUGGCUCGCCCUCCGCCAUAGCUCCAGCCGCCGCCGUGGUUACUAACGCUGAUUCCAGUCUCUGAACGCAAGCCUGGAGAAGGAAAAAGCCAAAGGGAAAAGCCAAGAAAUCAAGUUGUUGAAACUGCAGGAGCAACAGAAAUGUAACCCCGCUGAGCUGGGCUUCGCUUACACGGCAGAUCGUAU